CAUUACCGAGUGAGGGCCCUCUGGGUCCAACCUCCCACCCGUGUUUAUUUUACCUUGUUGCUUCGGCGGGCCCGCCUUAACUGGCCGCCGGGGGGCUUACGCCCCCGGGCCCGCGCCCGCCGAAGACACCCUCGAACUCUGUCUGAAGAUUGUAGUCUGAGUGAAAAUAUAAAUUAUUCAAAACUUUCAACAACGGAUCUCUUGGUUCCGGCAUCGAUGAAGAACGCAGCGAAAUGCGAUACGUAAUGUGAAUUGCAAAUUCAGUGAAUCAUCGAGUCUUUGAACGCACAUUGCGCCCCCUGGUAUUCCGGGGGGCAUGCCUGUCCGAGCGUCAUUGCUGCCCUCAAGCACGGCUUGUGUGUUGGGCCCCGUCCUCCGAUCCCGGGGGACGGGCCCGAAAGGCAGCGGCGGCACCGCGUCCGGUCCUCGAGCGUAUGGGGCUUUGUCACCCGCUCUGUAGGCCCGGCCGGCGCUUGCCGAUCAACCCAAAUUUUUAUCCAGGUUGACCUCGGAUCAGGUAG
rnacentral:rRNA from 1 species